rnacentral:rRNA from 1 species
AGUGAACGCUGGCGGUAGGCCUAAUACAUGCAAGUCGAACGGCAGCACAGUAAGAGCUUGCUCUUACGGGUGGCGAGUGGCGGACGGGUGAGGAGUACAUCGGAAUCUACUUUUUCGUGGGGGAUAACGUAGGGAAACUUACGCUAAUACCGCAUACGACCUACGGGUGAAAGCAGGGGAUCUUCGGACCUUGCGCGAUAGAAUGAGCCGAUGUCGGAUUAGCUAGUUGGCGGGGUAAAGGCCCACCAAGGCAACGAUCCGUAGCUGAUCUGAGAGGAUGAUCGGCCACACUGUAACUGAGACACGGUCCAGACUCCUACGGGAGGCAGCAGUGGGGAAUAUUCGACAAUGGGCGCAAGCCUGAUCCAGCCAUACCGCGUGGGUGAAGAAGGCCUUCGGGUUGUAAAGCCCUUUUGUUGGGAAAGAAAAGCAGCAGGUUAAUACCCCGCUGUUCUGACGGUACCCAAAGAAUAAGCACCGGCUAACUUCGUG